CAUGAAGCUGGAAUCGCUAGUAAUCGCGGAUCAGAAUGCCGCGGUGAAUACGUUCCCGGGUCUUGUACACACCGCCCGUCACACCAUGGGAGUCAGUAACGCCCGAAGUCAGUGACCCAACCUUAGGGAGGGAGCUGCCGAAGGCGGGACGGAUAACUGGGGUGAAGUCGUAACAAGGUAUC
rnacentral:rRNA from 1 species